rnacentral:rRNA from 1 species
UACGGAGGAGGCAAGCGUUAUCCGGAAUUAUUGGGCGUAAAGCGUCCGCAGGUGGCACUUCAAGUCUGUCGUCAAAGACUGGGGCUUAACCCCGGAAAGGCGGUGGAAACUGAAGCGCUAGAGUGCGGUAGGGGUAGAGGGAAUUCCCGGUGUAGCGGUGAAAUGCGUAGAGAUCGGGAAGAACAUCGGUGGCGAAAGCGCUCUACUGGACCGCAACUGACACUCAGGGACGAAAGCUAGGGGAGCAAACAGG